rnacentral:rRNA from 1 species
AUGAACGCUGGCGGCGUGCCUAAUACAUGCAAGUCGAGCGAACAGACGAGGAGUUUGCUCCUCUGACGUUAGCGGCGGACGGGUGAGUAACACGUGGAUAACCUACCUAUAAGACUGGGAUAACUUCGGGAAACCGGAGCUAAUACCGGAUAAUAUAUUGAACCGCAUGGUUCAAUAGUGAAAGACGGUUUUGCUGUCACUUAUAGAUGGAUCCGCGCCGCAUUAGCUAGUUGGUAAGGUAACGGCUUACCAAGGCAACGAUGCGUAGCCGACCUGAGAGGGUGAUCGGCCACACUGGAACUGAGACACGGUCCAGACUCCUACGGGAGGCAGCAGUAGGGAAUCUUCCGCAAUGGGCGAAAGCCUGACGGAGCAACGCCGCGUGAAUGAUGAAGGUCUUCGGAUCGUAAAACUCUGUUAUUAGGGAAGAACAAAUGUGUAAGUAACUAUGCACGUCUUGACGGUACCUAAUCAGAAAGCCACGGCUAACUACGUG